rnacentral:miRNA from 3 species
UUUCCGGCUCGCGUGGGUGUGU